GGGGAAUAUUGGGCAAUGGGCGAAAGCCUGACCCAGCAACGCCGCGUGAGGGAAGAAGGUCUUCGGAUUGUAAACCUUUGUCCUAUGGGACGAAACAAAUGACGGUACCAUAGGAGGAAGCUCCGGCUAACUACGUGCCAGCAGCCGCGGUAAUACGUAGGGAGCAAGCGUUGUCCGGAAUUACUGGGCGUAAAGGGUGCGUAGGUGGCCAUGUAAGUCAGGUGUGAAAGACCGGGGCUCAACCCCGGGGCGGCACUUGAAACUGUGUGGCUUGAGUACAGGAGAGGGAAGUGGAAUUCCUAGUGUAGCGGUGAAAUGCGUAGAUAUUAGGAGGAACACCAGUGGCGAAGGCGACUUUCUGGACUGUAACUGACACUGAGGCACGAAAGCGUGGGGAGCAAAC
rnacentral:rRNA from 1 species